GAAACUUAAAGGAAGUUGACGGGGGCCCGCGACAAGCGGUGGAGCAUGUGGUUUAAUUCGAAGCAACGCGAAGAACCUUACCAGGCCUUGACAUGCAGAGAACUUUCCAGAGAUGGAUUGGUGCCUUCGGGAACUCUGACACAGGUGCUGCAUGGUUGUCGUCAGCUCGUGCCGUGAGGUGUCGGGUUAAGUCCCAUAACGAGCGCAACCCCUAUCAUUAGUUGCCAUCAGGUCAAGCUGGGGACUCUAAUGAAACUGCCUACGCAAGUAGUGAGGAAGGUGGGGAUGACGUCAAAUCAGCACGGCCCUUACGUCCAGGGCGACACACGUGCUACAAUGGCCGGCACAGCGGGAAGCGGAGGGGCGACCCUGAGCGGAUCCCUUGAAAGCCGGUCCCAGUUCGGAUUGCAGUCUGCAACUCGACUGCAUGAAGUUGGAAUCGCUAGUAAUCGCGGAUCAGCCAAGCCGCGGUGAAUACGUUCCCGGGCCUU
rnacentral:rRNA from 1 species